rnacentral:rRNA from 1 species
UUCCAGACUCCUACGGGAGGCAGCAGUGGGGGAUAUUGCACAAUGGGGGGAACCCUGAUGCAGCGACGCCGCGUGGGUGAAGGAGCGUUUCGGCGCGUAAAGCCCUGUCGGCAGGGAAGAAGAUGACGGUACCUGACCAAGAAGCCCCGGCUAACUACGUGCCAGCAGCCGCGGUAAUACGUAGGGGGCGAGCGUUAUCCGGAAUUACUGGGUGUAAAGGGAGCGUAGACGGCGAAGUAAGCCUGAAGUGGAAGCCCGCGGCCCAACCGCGGAACUGCUUUGGGAACUGUUUUGCUGGAGUAUGGGAGGGGUAAGCGGAAUUCCUGGUGUAGCGGUGAAAUGCGUAGAUAUCAGGAGGAACACCGGCGGCGAAGGCGGCCUGCUGGACCGCGACUGACGUUGAGGCUCGAAAGCGUGGGGAGCGAACAGGAUUAGAUACCCCCGUA